rnacentral:rRNA from 1 species
CCUACGGGUGGCAGCAGUGAGGAAUAUUGGUCAAUGGACGAGAGUCUGAACCAGCCAAGUAGCGUGAAGGAUGAAUGCCCUAUGGGUUGUAAACUUCUUUUAUAUGGGAAUAAAACGUUCCACGUGUGGGAUUUAGUAUGUACCAUAUGAAUAAGGAUCGGCUAACUCCGUGCCAGCAGCCGCGGUAAUACGGAGGGUCCGAGCGUUAUCCGGAUUUAUUGGGUGUAAAGGGAGCGUAGGUGGAUUGUUAAGUCAGUGGUGAAAGUUUGCGGCUCAACCGUAGAAUUGCAUUUGAAACUGGCAGUCUUGAGUACUGUAGAGGUGGGCGGAAUUCGUGGUGUAGCGGUGAAAUGCUUAGAUAUCACGAAGAACUCCGAUGGCGAAGGCAGUUCACUGGACUGCAACUGACGCUGAGGCUCGAAAGUGUGGGUAUCAAACAGGAUUAGAUACCCCAGUAGUC